rnacentral:rRNA from 1 species
CAUGUAGGCGGCCUAUUAAGUCGGGCGUGAAAAUGCGGGGCUCAACCCCGUAUGGCGCCCGAUACUGGUGGGCUUGAGUGCAGGAGAGGAAAGGGGAAUUCCCAGUGUAGCGGUGAAAUGCGUAGAUAUUGGGAGGAACACCAGUGGCGAAGGCGCCUUUCUGGACUGUGUCUGACGCUGAGAUGCGAAAGCCAGGGGAAGCGAACG